rnacentral:sRNA from 2 species
GGUUAGCCCUGAUGGAAGCGGCAUCCUUGCUUGGUCUCGUUUUUUCUACGAGACCAAGCAAGAUACAGCGUACAGCAGGAAAUAGC